rnacentral:rRNA from 1 species
UCCUACGGGGGGCAGCAGGCGCGAAAACUCCGCAAUGCGGGAAACCGUGACGGGGCCACCCCGAGUGCCGCCCGAAGAGGGCGCGUUUUUGCCCGGUGCAAAAAGCCGGGCGAAUAAGCGGGGGGCAAGUCUGGUGUCAGCCGCCGCGGUAAUACCAGCUCCGCGAGUGGUCGGGGUGCUUACUGGGCCUAAAGCGCCCGUAGCCGGCCCGGUAAGUCGUCCCUGAAAUCCACGGGCUCAACCCGUGGGCUGGGGACGAUACUGCCGGGCUUGGGGGCGGGAGAGGCCGAGGGUACUCCCGGGGUAGGGGCGAAAUCCGAUAAUCCCGGGAGGACCACCAGUGGCGAAGGCGCUCGGCUGGAACGCGCCCGACGGUGAGGGGCGAAAGCUGGGGGAGCAAAGGGGAUUAGAUACCCCUGUAGUCCCAGCUGUAAGCGAUGCGGGCUAGCUGUUGGGCGGGCUUAGAGCCCGCCCAGUGGCGGAGGGAAGCCGUUAAGCCCGCCGCCUGGGGAGUACGGCCGCAAGGCUGAAACUUAAAGGAAUUGGCGGGGGGGCACCACAAGGGGUGAAGCUUGCGGCUUAAUUGGAGUCAACGCCGGAAACCUUACCCGGGGCGACAGCAGGAUGAUGGCCAGGCUAACGACCUUGCCGGACGAGCUGAGAGGAGGUGCAUGGCCGUCGUCAGCUCGUGCCGUGAGGUGUCCGGUUAAGUCCGGCAACGAGCGAGACCCCCACCCCUAGUUGCUACCCGAUCCUUCGGGAUCGGGGGCACACUAGGGGGACUGCCGGCGUAAGCCGGAGGAAGGAGGGGGCCACGGCAGGUCAGUAUGCCCCGAAACCCCGGGGCUGCACGCGAGCUGUAAUGGCGGGGACAGCGGGAUCCGACCCCGAAAGGGGAAGGUAAUCCCGUAAACCCCGCCCCAGUAGGGAUCGAGGGCUGUAACUCGCCCUCGUGAACGUGGAAUCCCUAGUAACCGCGUGUCACCAACGCGCGGUGAAUACGUCCCUGCCCCUUGCACACACCGCCCGUC